AAAUGCCGAAAUAGAAACUCUUCCGAAGGCAGAGGGAGCAGAGUGGGCGGAGCUAGCGCCAAAGGAAGGCGGCCGGAAGUCAAGUCCCGGGCGCAAGGGUCCCGUGGUUGGUCCGGAGCACGCUGUGCAGCAGGCCCCGCAAUGGCGUUUCUGGACAGCUGGAAGUACAGUUGACCCUGAAACAAUACGGUUUUGGCCCUGUGUAUCCCGGGGUUUCACAUGUAUGGAUGCAACCAAAACUAUUUUUGAUCCAGGAUUUGGAAUCCUGGGAUGUGGAUGGGGAGGUUUUCUUUCUGCCUCGCAUGCCACCUGGCAGCGCCGAGCUGAUCAGCUGAUCGAGAAGGGACGUUUUCAGUGGUGACACGCCCAGUUGGAAGAAUGCACAAGAGGCUGACAUGAGAAUGAAAUGGCAGGCACCGACUUUAUUGUGGGGGGCGCACUUCUGUUGCAGGAAGUGCAGUCUAUUGUGGUGAGCGGGCUUCUGCUUCUGCUCUUCUUCUGCUCCCCUUUCUUUGGCUCCCCUUCUGCUCCCCAGGGGACCACGUGGCUCCACACAUAUCAGAGUACAAUAGUGGCAUUCAACCACUCAUGUGCAAUACAAUAAGCUAAAUUAUGUUUACAUAUUUUAGGCGCAGGCACCCUACUACACUAAUGUAACAUUCUAAAUCUAGGGUCUUAUUCCUAAAUGCAAACCUGGGUCACAGCCAGAUCUGGGACCAGCCAGGCCUGGGACUCACACAACCUUUUCUCAGUUUCUUUUGCUGAUUCUUCCUUAUCUCAUUUUUAACAUUGGAGAGCCCUGAGGUUCAGUUUUGGACCUCUUUUCUGUAUACACUCAUUCUGAUGAUCUCAUCCGAUAUCGUGGCUUUAAAUCCUCUCUUGGUUGACAACACUAAAUGUUAUCUCCAGCCUGGACCUCUCCUCAAACUCUCACCAUGUUGAUAUCUCUACUUGUAUAUCUAAUAGAUGCCUUACACUUAAUAUGUCUCAGAUAGAACUCCUGACGUUUUCGCCCCCAACUGGAUCACUCAAAGUGCUCUCCAUGUCAGCAAAUGGCAUCUCCAUUCUUCCUAUUGCUCAGGCCAAAAUUUACCUUCCACUCUUUCUCUCAAAUUCCACAUUUUAUUUGUCAGCAAAUCUGAUCGGUUUGCCUUUGAAAUUUUUCCAGAAUCUGAUUACUUCUCAUCACUUCUACCCUCUCUCGCCUAGAUUAUUUUAAGGCUCCUCACUGGUUUCCCUGCUUCUGCCCUGGCUUCCCUACAAAAGCCAGAGUGAUCCUUUCAAGACCUAAAUCAGAUCAUGUCCUUCUUCUGCUCAGCACCCUCCAAUGGCUCCCUAUCGCUCUCCUAAUAAAAAGUUAAAGUAUUUGCAAUGGCCUAAAAGGCUCAACCUGGUUGGACCCCAUUACUUUUCUAAUCUAACCUCCUGUUGCUCUCCUCCUAACUCACGUUGCUGAAGCCACACUGAUCUCUUUGCUCUUCCUCAAAUACGGCAGACACAGUACUUUGCAUAGCCUUAGCACUAGGUGUUCUGUCUGGGACUCCAUUUCCCCAUGGCUGAUUUCCUCACCUUCUAAAAGGCAAGGCUCAAAUGUUGCCACUUCAGAGACACCACUUGCUGAACACUCUGUAUCCCCCUUCUUGGCUUUGUUUUUCUCAAUAACACUUAUCACCUUCUAACAUGCCACAACACUUAUUUGUUUAUUGUCUGAUUCCCCACUGGCAUUAAGCUCAAUGAGGACAGAAUUUUUUUUAACUGUUUAGUUUGAAAUAAUCAUAGAUUCACAAACAGUCACAAAGAAAUAUACAAAGAAGUUCUGUGCACCCUUCACCCAGCCUUCACCAGUAUUAACGCCUUACAUAAUUAUCGUACAAUAUCAAAACUAGGAAAUAUACGAUAGAACAAUUCGAAGAGUUUAUUCAGAUUACACCAGUUAGGCAUGCACUCGUUGGUGUGUGUGUGUAGCUCUGUAGUUUUAUCAUGUGUAGCUUUGUGGAACUACCACCACAAUAAAAUACAGAACUGUACCAUUACCACAACACUCCAUUAAGGGAGAGAUUUUUUUUUUCUGUCAGAUUUGUUUGCUCCUGUACCCCCAGCAUUAAGAGCCAAGCCUGACAUGUAGUCGGCCUUGAUAUCUGUUGAACUGAAAAGGCACUAGAGUGCAGUGUUGACAGCAUUGACUCUGAAGCCAGGAAUAUCUGGGUUUGAGUAUCAGCUGUGCAACAUACUAGCUAUGUGACCUUGAAUACAUAACUUAGCCCA